UACGGAGGGUGCGAGCGUUGUCCGGAAUGACUGGGCGUAAAGGGCGCGUAGGCGGACGGCUUUGUCGGGCGUGAAAUUCCAGGGCUUAACCUUGGGGCUGCGUUCGAGACGGGUUGUCUAGAGUUUGGGAGAGGGUCGUGGAAUUCCCAGUGUAGAGGUGAAAUUCGUAGAUAUUGGGAAGAACACCGGUGGCGAAGGCGGCGACCUGGUCCUUGACUGACGCUGAGGCGCGAAAGCGUGGGGAGCAAACAGG
rnacentral:rRNA from 1 species